rnacentral:rRNA from 1 species
UACGGAGGAUGCGAGCGUUAUCCGGAUUUAUUGGGUUUAAAGGGUGCGCAGGCGGAUUUUUAAGUCAGCGGUCAAAUCGUGGGGCUCAACCCCAUCCAGCCGUUGAAACUGGGGAUCUAGAGUGUGCGAGAGGUAUGCGGAACGCGUGGUGUAGCGGUGAAAUGCAUAGAUAUCACGCAGAACCCCGAUUGCGAAGGCAGCAUACCGGUGCACAACUGACGCUCAGGCACGAAAGCGUGGGUAUCGAACAGG